GAUGAACGCUAGCUACAGGCUUAACACAUGCAAGUCGAGGGGAAACGAUAUUGGAAGCUUGCUUCCGAUAGGCGUCGACCGGCGCACGGGUGAGUAACGCGUAUCCAACCUGCCCAUCACUUGGGGAUAACCUUGCGAAAGUAAGACUAAUACCCAAUGACGUCUCUAGAAGACAUCUGAAAGAGAUUAAAGAUUUAUCGGUGAUGGAUGGGGAUGCGUCUGAUUAGCUUGUUGGCGGGGUAACGGCCCACCAAGGCGACGAUCAGUAGGGGUUCUGAGAGGAAGGUCCCCCACAUUGGAACUGAGACACGGUCCAAACUCCUACGGGAGGCAGCAGUGAGGAAUAUUGGUCAAUGGACGAGAGUCUGAACCAGCCAAGUAGCGUGCAGGAUGACGGCCCUAUGGGUUGUAAACUGCUUUUAUAAGGGAAUAAAGUGAGUCUCGUGAGACUUUUUGCAUGUACCUUAUGAAUAAGGACCGGCUAAUUCCGUGCCAGCCGCCGCGGUAA
rnacentral:rRNA from 1 species